AGUGUAAUGUUCAGUGUUCCAUCCAAUAUUGAGAGCUCGAAUUCACAUGUCAUUUUGUUGAAGUUCCUAACAGAUGCCGAGGAAAUAGAAAUGGCCCUUGAACACAUAAAAUGGAUUAAGCGCUGCUGCAGCUCUACGUUUCAGGGCAUAAUGAACGAACUGAUGGCUUCUCUUUCGACUUCUGCUAGUCUUCAACCUGUCACAAAGUUGGUUCGUUAUUUACAUUCUCAGGGGCUUGUUGACGAAGUUGGCCCAUGGAUGAAGAUGAUAGAGAAUGUUUAUGCUUGAAUAACAAUUUCAAUGGUUACCAUAUCAUGACAUCGUAUGAGUUAUCCAUUUUGCUAAUCAGGCCAGAAGUGUCUGGGAUCAUUGGAGGUUUUGUGCUGCUGCUCUAUGUCUAUGCUCCUAUUCCAACAGAAACAUAGAAACCUGGUGUUAUGCUUGGCUGAUAUGAUGUGGCAAUGGCUCGGGAUGACAUUCAGCGAGUGUAAUGAAUUUACCUUUAUCCAAUGAGCAACUCAUAAUAAUGAUACUGCCGCUAUAGUGGGUAUAACAGUGGCAGGGAUGGCAGGUCAGAAUGAUUUCUAUGGCGCUGUAGUGGAUUCUCAUGCUGACCAGGUCCAUUGUGGUAUAGAAAGUGAAGGCAAUUCUUGUUCAUCUCAUCUCCUCCUGAUCCAGAUGAUAAAUGAAUUUCUUUGAGGGAUGCAGCACUGAUCACUGCAAUAUUUGUGUCUGGGUGACAUUUUCAAGAUUGCGUCCUACAUGGCAUCUAAGGUCCCUGCUGUGGAUUCAGCUUGAUUUACGAUAUGAAGACAAGGGCUUAUGCUGCACUCCAUUUCAGAAUUGCGCGUCAAGUUUCUUUGGUUGGGCCAGAUAUUCUCUGAUCUGAUUAUGUGUGUUUUUCAAUAUUUUAGAUGGCUUGGUAGAUUAUUCAUAAAUACUCAUAGGUGUGGUUCAUGAUUUUUUUUUUGAUACUUCUCAUGUAUCUUUAUAGACACAGAACUAUAAGAAAGCAGGGUCAAUAAUUGUAAUUCCUACUUACCCUGUA